GCUCGGGCUCUGUCGGACCCAGUUAAUUACCGUAGCCGAGUCAGUCUCCAGCAAUACUGAAGUCGCUUGAAGCACCUAUCGUACGUAACACAUACCCAUCCAGGCCACCCACAGCUAUGCGCUAGGAAGGCAUAUAAAAAGUUGUGGAAGUAGGGAUAGAAAGUCUGAAUCAGAUAUAUGCAAAAUUUUUAUUAAUGCAAUAUUUAGUCAUAAACUCCAAGCCCAGAAAAAUAGGUUUUCGCCCUGUUCAUAUUUAUGUUAAUUAUUAAUUAAUGUAUGGAUUUCUUGUUUUGAUGCUCCGACGGGGCGUGGUGGCGCAAAUCUUUCGCCGACUC
rnacentral:lncRNA from 1 species